CCAAAGCGUCCAGAAAAUGACAAUCAGGCCACCAGAAUACGGUAAAACCGUAGGUUAAACCGUCAGAAACCCUAGAAGCCGAUAGGUCAUCAAGAUCAACCGUCCAAAAUCAUCAAAAAGUCUUUCCGGAGUGUUGAAUAGAGGAAAAUACACUCGGAUACACUCAGAAAAGUCUCCGAUGGACUAAAAUCAUCAUCGACGAAGCGGUCUCAGAAAUCACCCCCAAAAACCUCGAUACAGACUUCAUCCAGGACCACGAACACACAGAAACAUGAUCGGAUCGUCUUCGAGGCUCUGAUACCAUGUUAACAUCAAGAUUGAACGAAAGAAUCAUACAAAUUAUAGAGAGAGAAAGUAGAGAGAAGGAGGAGAGUAGGUGAGAAGUCUCUCGAAUGUCAGAGAGAGAAUUGUAUUAACCGAGA
rnacentral:lncRNA from 1 species